rnacentral:rRNA from 1 species
CUCUGUGACUCCUACGGGAGGCAGCAGUGGGGAAUAUUGCACAAUGGGGGAAACCCUGAUGCAGCCAUGCCGCGUGUGUGAAGAAGGCCUUCGGGUUGUAAAGCACUUUCAGUAGGGAGGAAGGUAGUGUAGUUAACACCUGCAUUAUUUGACGUUACCUACAGAAGAAGCACCGGCUAACUCCGUGCCAGCAGCCGCGGUAAUACGGAGGGUGCGAGCGUUAAUCGGAAUUACUGGGCGUAAAGCGCAUGCAGGCGGCCUGUUAAGUCAGAUGUGAAAGCCCGGGGCUUAACCUCGGAAUUGCAUUUGAAACUGGCAGGCUAGAGUCUUGUAGAGGGGGUAGAAUUUCAGGUGUAGCGGUGAAAUGCGUAGAGAUCUGAAGGAAUACCAGUGGCGAAGGCGGCCCCCUGGACAAAGACUGACGCUCAGAUGCGAAAGCGUGGGGAGCAAACAGGAUUAGAACCCUGGUAG